rnacentral:rRNA from 1 species
CUGGCUCAGGAUGAACGCUAGCGACAGGCUAACACAUGCAAGUCGAGGGGCAGCACGGGAGUAGCAAUACAACUGGUGGCGACCGGCGCACGGGUGAGUAACGCGUAUGCAACCUACCUAUCAGGAGGGGAAUAACCCGGCGAAAGUCGGACUAAUACCGCAUAAAACAGGGGCACCGCAUGGUGAUAUUUGUUAAAGAAAUUCGCUGAUAGAUGGGCAUGCGUUCCAUUAGGUAGUUGGUGAGGUAACGGCUCACCAAGCCGACGAUGGAUAGGGGAACUGAGAGGUUGGUCCCCCACACUGGUACUGAGACACGGACCAGACUCCUACGGGAGGCAGCAGUGAGGAAUAUUGGUCAAUGGGCGAGAGCCUGAACCAGCCAAGUCGCGUGAAGGAAGAAGGAUCUAUGGUUCGUAAACUUCUUUUGCAGGGGAAUAAAGUGCGGGACGUGUCCUGUUUUGUAUGUACCCUGAGAAUAAGGAUCGGCUAACUCCGUGCCAGCAGCCGC